rnacentral:lncRNA from 1 species
GACCCUCUGUGUGCACAGCCUGGCCACCUUUGAAGCACCUUUAUCUCUUGCUCUUUUAGGCUCUGGCUCUUAGGUUCCCUGGACUUCUCCACACAUCUCCUUCAUCCAGUGUGAUCCUCCCUACGGGUCUCUUCGCUGCAGCUCAGCUUGUUGACCUGGGACUCGGCGAUGUCCGCCCUCUCCUCCGCCUCAUCCAGCUCGUGCUGCACCUUGCGGAACUUGGACAGCCUCCAGCUCAUUCUCCAGCUCCCGGACCCGGGCCUCCAGCUUCUGCAGCUGCUUCUUGCCGCCCUUGAGGGCGAUCUGCUCUGCCUCGUCCAGACGGUGCUGCAAGUCCUUGAUGGUCUGCUCCAUGUUCUUCUUCAUGCGCUCCAGGUCGUCAUUGGCACGGACAGCAUCAUCCAGCUGGAUUUGAGUGUCCUGAGGAUCAGAAAAAUGAGUGGCCUCAUUGCGGCUGCGUGUCUCCGCAUCCAGGGAGGUCUGCAGGGAGUCCACCAUCCGCAGGUGGUUGCGCUUGGCCUGCUCCAUCUCCUCAUCCUUCUCUGCCAGCUUCCUUUCAAUCUCUGCCUUGAUCUGGUUGAACUCUAGCUGGGCGCGGAGGAUCUUGCCCUCCUCGUGCUCCAGGGAGGCCUGGAAAGGAUAUAGAUUUUGCAGGCAUAUAGUCAGAGACCAGGGUGGAAGCAAGGGUGUGUCUAAAAACCAUGGCACAGAGAGCAUUUGGGGAUGGUAUACAUGACUCAGUAGGAGAUGCAGUGGAAGGAAAUGAGAAAGAGUGUGCACAAGAGAAAUGAAAGCAAGCUGAAGAGAAGGGGAUGCAGACUCCCAGGGGGGCGGAGGGAGUCAGCUUUGAAGACAAAGAGGAAAAUGAAAAGUGUUGCCAAGGAAACAGAGGCAAUGAAGCAGAGAGUAAAGGAACAAAAAAAAAAAAACCACCACACACAGGCAGGCAGAGGUGGAAAGUGGAAUGAGCUGAAAUAGGAGUCUUUCUAAGGUACAGUAAAUAAAAUGUUUGUGUGAAGGAA